rnacentral:lncRNA from 1 species
AUUAAUUUCAUAAUAUUAAAGUAAAAUAUAAAAGAUUUUAUCUUUUCUUGAACUUUCAUCUCAUAUCUUCUCUCUCCUCAAUAAUGGUCGCAGUUGGAUUUGCGUUUCAUUUUUAUUUUUUAUUUUUUAUUUUUCAUUCUUUACUUCUCUUUUUUCUUCUCUAUUUAUUUUAGUCGCCUUCACUCCACUAUGUAGUCAGUCAUCGCCGA